UUAAGUGAAUAAGGGCGCACGGUGGAUGCCUUGGCACUAGGAGCCGAUGAAGGACGGGACUAACACCGAUAUGCUUUGGGGAGCUGUAAGUAAGCUAUGAUCCAGAGAUUUCCGAAUGGGGGAACCCAAUAUCUUUUAUAGGAUAUUACUUUUCAGUGAAUACAUAGCUGAUUAGAGGUAGACGCAGAGAACUGAAACAUCUUAGUACCUGCAGGAAGAGAAAGAAAAUUCGAUUCCCUGAGUAGCGGCGAGCGAAACGGGAAGAGCCCAAACCAACAAGCUUGCUUGUUGGGGUUGUAGGACUCCAACAUGGUAGUCUGUUAGUAUAGUUGAAGGAUUUGGAAAAUUCCGCUAAAGAGGGUGAAAGCCCCGUAGACGAAAUGCUGACAACACCUAGGAGGAUCCUGAGUACGGCGGAACACGAGAAAUUCCGUCGGAAUCCGCGGGGACCAUCCCGCAAGGCUAAAUACUCCCUAGUGACCGAUAGUGAACCAGUACCGUGAGGGAAAGGUGAAAAGCACCCCGGGAGGGGAGUGAAAUAGAACCUGAAACCGUGUGCCUACAACAAGUCAAAGCUCGUUAAUGAGUGAUGGCGUGCCUUUUGUAGAAUGAACCGGCGAGUUACGAUUGCAUGCGAGGUUAAGUCGAAGAGACGGAGCCGCAGCGAAAGCGAGUCUGAAUAGGGCGAAUGAGUAUGUAGUCGUAGACCCGAAACCAUGUGAUCUACCCAUGUCCAGGUUGAAGGUGCGGUAAAACGCACUGGAGGACCGAACCCACGUACGUUGAAAAGUGCGGGGAUGAGGUGUGGGUAGCGGAGAAAUUCCAAACGAACUUGGAGAUAGCUGGUUCUCUCCGAAAUAGCUUUAGGGCUAGCCUCGGAAUUGAGAAUGAUGGAGGUAGAGCACUGUUUGGACUAGGGGCCCAUCUCGGGUUACCGAAUUCAGAUAAACUCCGAAUGCCAUUCAUUUAUAUCCGGGAGUCAGACUGCGAGUGAUAAGAUCCGUAGUCGAAAGGGAAACAGCCCAGACCACCAGCUAAGGUCCCAAAAUAUAUGUUAAGUGGAAAAGGAUGUGGGGUUGCACAGACAACUAGGAUGUUGGCUUAGAAGCAGCCACCAUUUAAAGAGUGCGUAAUAGCUCACUAGUCGAGUGACCCUGCGCCGAAAAUGUACCGGGGCUAAACAUAUUACCGAAGCUGUGGACUACACCAUUAGGUGUAGUGGUAGGAGAGCGUUCUAAGGGCGUUGAAGGUCGAUCGUGAGGACGGCUGGAGCGCUUAGAAGUGAGAAUGCCGGUAUGAGUAGCGAAAGACAGGUGAGAAUCCUGUCCACCGUAUGACUAAGGUUUCCUGGGGAAGGCUCGUCCGCCCAGGGUUAGUCGGGACCUAAGCCGAGGCCGAUAGGCGUAGGCGAUGGACAACAGGUUGAUAUUCCUGUACCAGUUGUUUUUGUUUGAGCAAUGGAGGGACGCAGUAGGCUAAGGAAUGCAUGCGAUUGGAAGUGCAUGUCCAAGCAAUGAGUCUUGAGUAGAGUUAAAUGCUUUACUCUCUAAGGACAAGUUGUGACGGGGAGCGAAAUAAUAGUAGCGAAGUUCCUGAUGUCACACUGCCAAGAAAAGCUUCUAGUGAGAAAACAACUGCCCGUACCGUAAACCGACACAGGUAGUCGAGGAGAGUAUCCUAAGGUGAGCGAGCGAACUCUCGUUAAGGAACUCGGCAAAAUGACCCCGUAACUUCGGGAGAAGGGGUGCUGACUUCGGUCAGCCGCAGUGAAUAGGCCCAAGCGACUGUUUAUCAAAAACACAGGUCUCUGCAAAAUCGUAAGAUGAAGUAUAGGGGCUGACGCCUGCCCGGUGCUGGAAGGUUAAGAGGAUGGGUUAGCUUCGGCGAAGCUCAGAAUUGAAGCCCCAGUAAACGGCGGCCGUAACUAUAACGGUCCUAAGGUAGCGAAAUUCCUUGUCGGGUAAGUUCCGACCCGCACGAAAGGCGUAA
rnacentral:rRNA from 1 species